UUUCCGUAGGUGAACCUGCGGAAGGAUCAUUCAUAAUAAAGUGUUUUAUGGCACUUUUUAAAAAAUCCAUAUCCACCUUGUGUGCAAUGUUAGAUCUCGUCAAUCUUGGCGAGAUUUUUAUACAUCAACUCAUUCUUUAACUAAUUUGUCUGAAAAAUAUUAUGAAUACUUAAUUCAAAAUACAACUUUCAACAACGGAUCUCUUGGCUCUC
rnacentral:misc_RNA from 1 species